UGGAUCGAUGAUGACUAUAAAAAAAAUGGAUCUCAUCGGAAUCUGAACAAAAUGAGUGACCAAAUCAUUUCUGUGCCACUUCUGUGAGCUGAGGUCCA
rnacentral:snoRNA from 1 species